rnacentral:piRNA from 1 species
AAUGUGUUUGGAACUCUGCUGAAGUGU